rnacentral:rRNA from 1 species
CGGCCGGCGCACGGGUGAGUAACGCGUAUCCAACCUGCCCACCACGUUGGGGAUAACCUUGCGAAAGUAAGACUAAUACCCAAUGAUAUCUCUAGAAGACAUCUGAAAGAGAUUAAAGAUUUAUCGGUGAUGGAUGGGGAUGCGUCUGAUUAGCUUGUUGGCGGGGUAACGGCCCACCAAGGCAACGAUCAGUAGGGGUUCUGAGAGGAAGGUCCCCCACAUUGGAACUGAGACACGGUCCAA